rnacentral:sRNA from 1 species
UGACAGUGAGACAGUACUGGUAGUUGC